ensembl:miRNA mir-8189 ncRNA
UCUCUUAUCCACUAGGCCACGA